AUGUUUCUCCGAGGGCAAGAGGGAGCACAGAAAAUAGGGAAAACUUCAACUACCCCACAGGCCCUGGAGAGAGAUCGUUUUGGCUCAAUUACUCCAAAGUACCCUGCUGGUUCUCUAGAGGUACAAACGCAAAAGUCCAGUCAGAACCCCGAGAACACCGUGUUCUCAAAAAGGGAUGUUGCCACUCUGACUGAGCCCAUUUCCGGAGUGGCUAAGGUAUCAAGGCCACGGAGACACUGGGGAGAGACGCCGGAUCGCUGGGGAGGCCCUCACAGAGAUCACACCAGUUCUGAUGAGGAGAUAGAGCUCCUAGAGAAAGAGAGGCACACAAAUGUACAGGAAGACACGGGCAAAACCAGGAGAGGAGGAAAAUAUGACAACAGCUCUCACAGUCUACAAGCACCGACUCCAGCGCAAAGCAGAUCUGUCAACGAGCAGAACAUGACUGAGUUUGCAACAGGACUCAUGAUUGGUAAGACAAUGCGUGUUGGGUCAAAUCAAACUGUAUGUAGAAUGUAUAUAUAA
ensembl:lncRNA